GCUCAGGACGAACGCUGGCGGCGUGCUUAACACAUGCAAGUCGAACGGAAAGGCCCUGCUUUUGUGGGGUGCUCGAGUGGCGAACGGGUGAGUAACACGUGAGUAACCUGCCCUUGACUUUGGGAUAACUUCAGGAAACUGGGGCUAAUACCGGAUAGGAGCUCCUGCUGCAUGGUGGGGGUUGGAAAGUUUCGGCGGUUGGGGAUGGACUCGCGGCUUAUCAGCUUGUUGGUGGGGUAGUGGCUUACCAAGGCUUUGACGGGUAGCCGGCCUGAGAGGGUGACCGGCCACAUUGGGACUGAGAUACGGCCCAGACUCCUACGGGAGGCAGCAGUGGGGAAUAUUGCACAAUGGGCGGAAGCCUGAUGCAGCAACGCCGCGUGCGGGAUGACGGCCUUCGGGUUGUAAACCGCUUUCGCCUGUGACGAAGCGUGAGUGACGGUAAUGGGUAAAGAAGCACCGGCUAACUACGUGCCAGCAGCCGCGGUGAUACGUAGGGUGCGAGCGUUGUCCGGAUUUAUUGGGCGUAAAGGGCUCGUAGGUGGUUGAUCGCGUCGGAAGUGUAAUCUUGGGGCUUAACCCUGAGCGUGCUUUCGAUACGGGUUGACUUGAGGAAGGUAGGGGAGAAUGGAAUUCCUGGUGGAGCGGUGGAAUGCGCAGAUAUCAGGAGGAACACCAGUGGCGAAGGCGGUCCUCUGGGCCUUUCCUGACGCUGAGGAGCGAAAGCGUGGGGAGCGAACAGGCUUAGAUACCCUGGUAGUCCACGCUGUAAACGGUGGGUACUAGGUGUGGGGUCCAUUCCACGGGUUCCGUGCCGUAGCUAACGCUUUAAGUACCCCGCCUGGGGAGUACGGCCGCAAGGCUAAAACUCAAAGGAAUUGACGGGGCCCCGCACAAGCGGCGGAGCAUGCGGAUUAAUUCGAUGCAACGCGUAGAACCUUACCUGGGUUUGACAUGGAUCGGGAGUGCUCAGAGAUGGGUGUGCCUCUUUUGGGGUCGGUUCACAGGUGGUGCAUGGCUGUCGUCAGCUCGUGUCGUGAGAUGUUGGGUUAAGUCCCGCAACGAGCGCAACCCUUGUUCACUGUUGCCAGCACGUUAUGGUGGGGACUCAGUGGAGACCGCCGGGGUCAACUCGGAGGAAGGUGGGGAUGACGUCAAGUCAUCAUGCCCCUUAUGUCCAGGGCUUCACGCAUGCUACAAUGGCUGGUACAGAGAGUGGCGAGCCUGUGAGGGUGAGCGAAUCUCGGAAAGCCGGUCUCAGUUCGGAUUGGGGUCUGCAACUCGACCUCAUGAAGUCGGAGUCGCUAGUAAUCGCAGAUCAGCAACGCUGCGGUGAAUACGUUCCCGGGGCUUGUACACACCGCCCGUCAAGUCAUGAAAGUUGGUAACACCCGAAGCCGGUGGCCUAACCGUUGUGGGGGAGCCGUCGAAGGUGGGACUGGUGAUU
rnacentral:rRNA from 1 species